rnacentral:misc_RNA from 1 species
CCGCCUUUCCUCUCUAUAAAUUCGUGACUUUCUUUUGGGUUCUGAGUUUCAAGCGCCGUCACAGCAUUGCACCUCAAAGAGAGAGCGCGCGAGUGAGAGAGAAGAUUGAAUAUUAGUAGGUGUAGUCGACUAGUAGUUGAGAAGGAGGGUAGAAAGGUGAAAAUGGCAGCGGCAGCGGCAGUAGCGUUGGAAUUACCUCCAGGAUUUAGGUUCCAUCCAACAGACGAGGAGCUCGUGGUCCACUACCUUUGCCGCAAAUGUGCGUCUCAGCCGAUUGCUGUCCCGAUAAUUGCCGAAAUCGAUCUCUACAAGUACAACCCGUGGCAUCUCCCAGGUAUGGCUUUGUAUGGGGAAAAGGAGUGGUACUUCUUUUCACCUAGGGACAGGAAAUAUCCAAACGGAUCGAGGCCGAACCGCGCCGCUGGAACUGGCUAUUGGAAGGCUACAGGAGCAGAUAAGCCAAU